GGGCUCGUAGUCGAUUGGUAAGACGUCACGUUGACAACGUGAAGACACGGAGUUCGAUUCUCCGCGGGCCCACCU
rnacentral:tRNA from 1 species